rnacentral:tRNA from 1 species
GCAUUGGUGGUUCAGUGAUAGAAUUCUCACCUUCUACACAGGCGACCUGGGAUCAGUUCCCAGCCAAUGCG